CCUACGGGGUGCAGCAGUGAGGAAUAUUGGUCAAUGGGCGAGAGCCUGAACCAGCCAAGUCGCGUGAGGGAGUACUGCCCUAUGGGUUGUAAACCUCUUUUGUCGGGGAGCAAAAGCCGGACGUGUCCGGCUGUGAGAGUACCCGAAGAAAAAGCAUCGGCUAACUCCGUGCCAGCAGCCGCGGGAAUACGGAGGAUGCGAGCGUUAUCCGGAUUUAUUGGGUUAAAAGGGUGCGCAGGCGGAUUUGUAAGUCAGCGGUCAAAUCGUGGGGCUCAACCCCAUCCAGCCUUGGAGACUAGGGAUCUAGAGUGAGCGAGAGGUAUGCGGAAUGCGUGGUGUAUCGGUGAAAUGCAUAGAUA
rnacentral:rRNA from 1 species